rnacentral:lncRNA from 1 species
UGCUGGUUUUUCAUGAUAGUUUGGGCAAAUCAACUCAUAGGGAGUUACACUAGCUUUGUGUUUGCAUGUAUUUGUAUUUUUAUUUCCCUUGACCUUAGCACAUUUAAGGAUUCAAUUUAAGAGAAAAACUCCCUAAGUGAAGGUAACAUACUGUGAAUGAUUCAAUUUAGGCUUAAAGGGGUGGCAAAUUAAUGGGGUCAUGAGAUAAGGGUACUCUUUCAACCUUGUUAUCUAUGUUGAGUAAAGCAAUUAGCUACAAAAUUCUGUGUGUG